GACGUAGGUGGCGAACGUUAUCCGGAAUUAUUGGGCGUAAAGGGUGCGUAGAUGGCCUGAUAAGUUAGCAGUGGGAAAUCGAGGCUCAACCUCGUGGAAGCUGGUAAUACUGUCAGGCUCGAGUGCAGGAGAGGUUAACGGAACUCCAUGUGGAGCGGUAAAAUGUGUAGAUAUAUGGAAAAACAUCAAUAACGGCGAAGGCAGUUAACUAUUCUGUUACUGACGUUGAGGCACGAAAGCGUGGGGAGCAAAACGG
rnacentral:rRNA from 1 species